rnacentral:rRNA from 1 species
UACGUAGGUGGCAAGCGUUGUUCGGAAUUAUUGGGCGUAAAGAGCUCGUAGGCGGUUUGUUGCGUCGGCUGUGAAAACCUGAGGCUCAACCUCAGGCCUGCAGUCGAUACGAGCAGACUAGAGUGUUGCAGGGGAGACUGGAAUUCCUGGUGUAGCGGUGGAAUGCGUAGAGAUCCGGAAGAACACCGGAGGCGAAGGCGGCUUGCUGGGCGUGAUCUGACGCUGAGGCGCGAAAGCGUGGGGAGCGAACAGG